GACGAACGCUGGCGGCGUGCUUAACACAUGCAAGUCGAACGGUGAAGCGCCUUCCUUUUUGGUGGGUGUGGAUGAGUGGCGAACGGGUGAGUAACACGUGAGUAACCUGCCCCCUUCUUCUGGAUAACCGCAUGAAAGUGUGGCUAAUACGGGAUAUUCUGGGUCUGUCGCAUGAUGGGUCUGGGAAAGAUAUUGUUUCGGUGGGGGAUGGGCUCGCGGCCUAUCAGCUUGUUGGGGGGGUGAUGGCCUACCAAGGCGGUGACGGGUAGCCGGCCUGAGAGGGUGGACGGUCACACUGGGACUGAGACACGGCCCAGACUCCUACGGGAGGCAGCAGUGGGGAAUAGUGCACAAUGGGCGCAAGCCUGAUGCAGCGACGCCGCGUGAGGGAUGGAGGCCUUCGGGUUGUGAACCUCUUUCGCCAGUGAAGCAGGCCUGCCUCGUUUGUGGGUGGGUUGACGGUAGCUGGAUAAGAAGCGCCGGCUAACUACGUG
rnacentral:rRNA from 1 species